CCUACGGGAGGCUGCAGUGAGGAAUAUUGGUCAAUGGGCGCAAGCCUGAACCAGCCAUCCCGCGUGCAGGAUGAAGGCCCUAUGGGUCGUAAACUGCUUUUAUACACCAAGAAAAACACCCACGUGUGGGUGCCCGACGGUAGUGUAUGAAUAAGCAUCGGCUAACUCCGUGCCAGCAGCCGCGGUAAUACGGAGGAUGCAAGCGUUAUCCGGAUUCAUUGGG
rnacentral:rRNA from 1 species